rnacentral:rRNA from 1 species
UGGGGAAUUUUGGACAAUGGGGGGAAACCCUGAUCCAGCCAUCCCGCGUGUGCGAUGAAGGCCUUCGGGUUGUAAAGCACUUUUGGCAGGAAAGAAACGUCGCGGGUUAAUACCCCGCGAAACUGACGGUACCUGCAGAAUAAGACCGGCUAACUACGUGCCAGCAGCCGCGGUAAUACGUAGGGUGCAAGCGUUAAUCGGAAUUACUGGGCGUAAAGCGUGCGCAGGCGGUUCGGAAAGAAAGAUGUGAAAUCCCAGAGCUUAACUUUGGAACUGCAUUUUUAACUACGGGCUAGAGUGUGUCAGAGGGAGGUGGAAUUCCGCGUGUAGCAGUGAAAUGCGUAGAUAUGCGGNGGAACACCGAUGGCGAAGGCAGCCUCCUGGGAUAACACUGACGCUCAUGCACGAAAGCGUGGGGAGCAAACAGGUUAGAUACCCUGGUAGUCCACGCCCUAAACGAUGUCAACUAGCUGUUGGGGCCUUCGGGCCUUGGUAGGCGCAGGCUAACGCGUGAAGUUGACCGCCUGGGGAGUACGGUCGCAAGAUUAAAACUUAAA